rnacentral:rRNA from 1 species
UAGCGGAGGAAAAGAAACCAACCGGGAUUGCCUUAGUAACGGCGAGUGAAGCGGCAAAAGCUCAAAUUUGAAAUCUGGUACCUUUGGUGCCCGAGUUGUAAUUUGGAGAGGGCAACUUUGGGACCGUUCCUUGUCUAUGUUCCUUGGAACAGGACGUCAUAGAGGGUGAGAAUCCCGUGUGGCGAGGAGUGCGGUUCUAUGUAAAGUGCCUUCGAAGAGUCGAGUUGUUUGGGAAUGCAGCUCUAAGUGGGUGGUAAAUUCCAUCUAAAGCUAAAUAUUGGCGAGAGACCGAUAGCGAACAAGUACAGUGAUGGAAAGAUGAAAAGAACUUUGAAAAGAGAGUGAAAAAGUACGUGAAAUUGUUGAAAGGGAAGGGCAUUUGAUCAGACAUGGUGUUUUGCGCCCUCUGCUCCUUGUGGGUGGGGGAAUCUCGCAGUUCACUGGGCCAGCAUCAGUUUUGGUGGCAGGAUAAAUCCGUAGGAAUGUAACUUGCUUCGGGAAGUAUUAUAGCCUAUGGGAAUACUGCCAACUGGGACUGAGGACUGCGACGUAAGUCAAGGAUGCUGGCAUAAUGGUUAUAUGCCGCCCGUC